rnacentral:tRNA from 1 species
AAAGAUUUAAGUUAAGCAAAACUAAUAGCCUUCAAAGCCUUAAAUGAUUUAAAAUCAAUCUUUACCA